UUUCAACUGUUUUCUUCAUCCAUUCCAUACAAAGACAGAUAUGCUGAGAAAGCAGUGCAGAUACAGAGCCAAUAAGGCACUAAUCCUUCUGUAGAAGAUCAAGAAAUUAUUUUCAAAGGUUGAGCAAACAGCCUUCUGUAGUACUCAUGACACUGGGAGGAAAAAAGGAAAUUCUACCAUUACCCAACGUGCAAAAAUUGACCACUGGCAAAAUGACUGUCACUUGUGUGACUUCCUUAACCCACAUGAAACAACAGGACAGAGCAGUUCCAUCAAAGAUCAAGCAACGGAGCUCUCUAAGCUGCAACCGGCCAGGAGAGACAAGCACCUUGAAGCUCCGGGGCAGUCCAGGGCCACUCCCACGGCAAGGAAACCAAAAUGAACAACUUUAGGAAGCAUUUCAUUUCUGUUGAAAUUCGAGGUGUAAACAGUGUAGUGAAUGGAUUGAAAAUGAAUGUGAAAAGUCAAUAGCUAUUGGAACAAAGAGAGUAGAGUGCUGGAGAGAAAUGACUUCAGUUCUGAAGAGUUGGGGAGCACAUCUGGGAAUAUGUGGUAACUCGGGGAAGUUUAUACUGAAGACAUCCCUAAAGAAACCCCAGGAUGAGUCCAAGAGGCUAAAAGAGGAACAAAUCUGAAACCAUCAAAAAUGUGGGUUGAUGAAAUAGCUCUGCAUCAGAAGUGAGGAAUGGGCUUUUUUCUGCUACCUCAUGCAGUCACCAAAUACAGGAAGCUAUUCCCUGGUUGAAAGAAAUAUGUAGCACACUACUGGAUUGUGGGCAAAACCCAAAAUAAGUAGGUGAGGACAGUUCAACUGAGCAGGGAUAUUUUAGUAGAGAUGUGAUCAAAAGUAUGAAUGUUUAAAAAUAAAAUUAUUACACAGUA
rnacentral:lncRNA from 1 species